AUUAAUAUGCAUAUUGGAUCUGAACAUAUGAUCUUCCACCAAAUUGUGAUGCCCCCAAUUCAAUCAUACACUAAUCAUACAUGCAAAUGUGUACGAUCAAGAUCAGGGACUCACGAGAAGAUAUCACAACACAACUCUAGACACCAAUUAAAAUAAUACAAGCUUUAUAUUACAAGCCAGGGGCCUUGAGGGCUCAAAUACAUAAGUUCGAUUACAAACGAGUCAGCAGAAGCAACAAUAUCUGAGUACAGACAUAAGUUAAACAAGUCUGCCUUAGGAAGGCUAGCACAAAAGCAACAUCGAUCAAAAAGGCAAGGCCUCCUGCCUGGGAGCCUCCUAACUACUCCUGGUCGUCGGCGUCCGUCACGUGGUAGUAGGCACCCUCGGGGUAGUAGUAGUCGCCGGCGGUGGCUUCUGGAUCCUGGGCUCCACCAUCUGGUUGCAGCAUCCGAGAAGAAUGGAAAGAGGUGGAAAAAGGGGAGCAAAGCAACGGUGAGUACUGAUCCAAAGUACUCGCAAGCAAGGAUCUACACUACAUAUGCAUCAGUAUCAAUGAAAUGGGUAGUAUCUGUGGACUGAACUGCAAAAUGCCAGAAGAGAAGGGGAAAGCCUAGCCUAUCGAAGACUAGCAUCUUCAAGCAACUCCAAGCAUCUUGUAGCAUUCAGAAGAGUAUAGAAUAGCAGUUUAUAUUUAGCAAACAUGUUGUAACAUUAGCGCCCAGAGAUCACUUCCUCGACUCCCUGCGAGGAAAAAAUCCCAGAGCCAUCAUUUCCAUUACAUGCCUCAGCAUUCAGUAUCCAUUUAUAGCUGUAUCGAUCGGAUACAACUCCGAGCGUCCGUUACCGUAGGACAGGCUAUCGAUAGAUGUUUUCUUCCCUGCAGGGGUGCACCAACUUACCCACCACGCUCGAUUAACUCCGGCCGGACACACUUUCCUGGGUCAUGCCCGGCCCUGGCCAAACAAUACGCCGCAACCCGACCUAGGAUUAAUAGAGAGGUCAGCACGCCGGACUAACCCUGUGCCCCCAGGGGUCAUGGGCCAUCGCUCCGGGAACUCCUGCACAUUGCGAACGCGGCCGGUGAGCAAACCUAACUACCUCCUUAAAAAGGCAGGUGCUUACGCAGUCCAACCCGGUGCGCGCCGCUCAGUCGCUGACGUCUAUUAAGCUUCGGCUGAUGCAUACGACGCAGAACGCCCAUAUUGUGCCCACGUGAUGGUUAGUGCUAUCAGGCCAAAGGCCCCUCAGAUCAAAUAUCCAAACCGUUAGUGUGUUGGUAGAGCGGUCACGAGCAGAGAGUCACGAAAGAUGUGACCCCGUCGCCCCGUCUCGAGGACUUGCAGCAAGGGCUAAGAAUGCCCGGCCACGCCUCGUAUUCAACUCUCGGGUACCCUCCAGGUCAACCCGUCUCCACAUCAAUCGCGGGUACCCCUCAGAGUCGACCUGCCUUUCCAAGUAACACUUGUAAAGUCCAAGUGUCCGUGUGUCCAAACAUCAAGGGGAAAACUCGAGGAAUCACCCCCGGUGUAUUCCACUCGAUGUAAUCAUCAAGGUGAACGUAAGAGGAUCCACCCUCGAGGUUCACACUUAAGGGGUUGCACGACAGAGUCGUAUCAGAAGUGGUUAAGGCGGAAUCAUCCUCGAUGACCACGACCGAACAGCUACACUACAGGGUUAACAUCAAAAGUGCUUAUGAGGUCUCACCUUCGGCACUUGAUAGUGACUCUGCAGAGUCGUACAACUAAAGGGGGUGAUGUGCGGUGCCGGGGCCUGGUCUUCGAUCUCGUUGAUCGGGCCUUCGAACAUAAAGCAGGGCAACUGGGACAAGGUGGGGGUCACUGAUGGAUCACUAACCAACCUAUACUAAGUAGUUAGAAUAAGCAGGUAUGGUAUGAAAGCAGAUACAAAAGCAGGCUAUGCGCCAGAAUAGGAGCAAUCAAUUACAGUAGCAAAAUCUAAUGCAAGCAUGAGAGAAUGGAAUGGGCGAUAUCGGGAUGAUGAAAGGGGGGCUUGCUUGGAAGCUCUGCUGUAAAGGAAGAAGAUUCGUCGGUGACGUAGUCGAUCACAGGGGCAUCAACAGCGGUCUCGGGGUCUAUCGAAGAAGGAGAAGGGGAAGAAACAGUAAAUAUAAGGCACACAGAUGCAUGUCAUGACAAUAAGCAACACUAGGCCUAUUCUAACGUAGUACUACGUGAUACCGACGAAGGGGGACAACAUCCGGGAAUGUUUUCCCGAAGUUUGGCAUAUUCAGACAAACGAAACGGAGGGGAAAGGUUGCAUGUUCGCUAUGCUAGGGGCAUGUUACAGAUGAACGGAUGGCAUAUUCGGUUUCGUCAUAUUUUUCUAAUCGACUUUCAUAUAUAAACUAUCUUCAAGGUUUAUUUUAUAUGAACUAGGAAAAUGCCCGUGCGUUGCAACGGGGUAUAUAUAUUUGUAUGCAUACAUUAGCUUGUGAUUUACCUACCCAUAUUAAUGUGAUUGUAUAACUAAAUGUCUAUAAAAUCUUCAUAAAACCCUUCCCACGAUUUACCUUAUAUUUGAUAAGAAUUUUGGUAAGUAAAUUAAAAUGAAAUUAGUAAAUAAAUUAAGGUGAUUAAUUAUCAUACGGGAAAGGUUGGAUGAAGGGAUGAUGGAAAAAAAUGAAACAUGAAACCUUAUAUUCUCUUUAUGUUUUAUAUAGGCAAUUGACCGUGCAGUGCACAAAUUUUUUGGUAGUUCCACACUAAUUGUGCAAACAUAGUCCGCCUGCAUACAUCAAGCUUUUCAGGAAAAUAUAGUAGUCUUUUAAAAAAAAUAUAAGUCAGUCUUCUUCGUGCACACGCUAUCUCUGUCUCUCCCACCCAAACAUGCUAGCGUCGUCGAUAGAGCAUCUGAAACCCCCGUGAAAGAACACAAAAUGCAAUCUACACAAAAUCAAUGAUGUAAACUGACGUAAAAUUAUGAUCGCUACAAGAAAAUCACUCUAGUAAUACCUUAAAUGGAAUAAUGCAACGGAAUAAUGUAACGACCCUAAACCGUUGAAAUGCAAAGUGUUAAAACCGCCUCAAACACUUACUUCCUUACAUGGAUAUUAUUUGUAUGGAUUGCAAAAGAAAUACAUAUUGUUUUAGAAAAUGGUUUAUUGGCAAUUACUACUAAACUUCAAUCAUCUUUACUCCACCAUAAAUCUUACAUGCAACUAAUCAUGUAGGACACACAAAAUUUUUACUCCAGGAUAAAAUUUGUGCGCAGACACAAAAAAAUCACAUGUGAGUGCAAAUCUUGGGAGGAGUCUAGCUGCGUGAAAGAAGUACCAGCCUGCAAACAAGAACAAAGGCAGUCUAAAUACUCAGGUACCAGGAAAUCAACCCAGAAAACCAACUCAAUCAAUUUAUGUACUGGAUCAUAUGCCAACACAUUUUCAUAGAUCCCUAUUAAAUACUGGUGCCAUCAUCUCCACAAACCGGGAAAAAAAAUUCUAAGAGACCUGGUCUUUUUUACACUGUCCAAGGAAUGCCACGUCUCAACACGAAUCACAAAGCACCCUGGGUCUUGGGUCUUCUUCCUCGGACAACGACUUCGUUCUUUUUCCCUGAUGGAAUCUUCCAGUUUAUUGCUUGGUCAGUACUCAGUAGUUAGUAGCAUCCUUCACGAGUAAUACCCCGACACGCCAUCUCACACAGCUCCAUCCUCCCCUCAGAUCUAGAAGUACUUCGAUCCCCAAAGCUCUUAGCUCGUUAUGUCAUGGCCCUCAUGCAUCCUUUCCUCUCACGAAACUCCUCAGCUAAAAAAUAAAAAAUUAGUCUGUUUGUCUACGUACUUGUUUAAAUCAAUUUGACAGAUCAACAAUUAAAUGGUCUUAUCUUAAGCAGUUUAAUUGAUCGAUCUGCACAUGUGAUUGUGAUUAAUUAGUAGCUGCGAUAAGCUAAUACAGACAUACAGCAGGCCACGGAGUAAAGCAGCAUGCGCAGGAAGGCCUUCCCUCGGCCGGCAUGGGGGCUCAGCCUCUACAUGCGUUAGUGGAGAACAUGGCAGCCGUAAUUUUGACAAGGAUGAGAAGCAGCCGGCUACAGAAUUAUUUUCCAAACCCACAAACCCGUGUGAGUUGCAACCUCCAUAAACAGAAUGGCCUUGUUGUUCACUGAAGAGGGAGAGUAGCAGUAGCUAUACCUGGUGCGGCACUGCGACUCUGUGGAUUGUUCGAGUCCUCAUCGGCGUUGACCACAUCCGAAACCUAGACGGCCAUGUGUUUAUGAAGCCCGUGUACACCAUCCUGCUCACACCGCUGGCGCGGCGAGCUCGGCGGUUGGGGAGAGGAGGACUCGGCCACGAGGUGGUAGAGGAACGGGAAGGCAUCGCCGCUGGCGGCGGAGGUGUGGUCCACCUAGCCCUCCAUCGAUUUUCUCCCCUGGACCCUGCUUGCUUUGGACCUGGGACUGGGAGCUGAAGACCAGAGGACUGAGACAAAGAAAUAAGCGGAGGCCGCGUCGUCGCAGAUUGGCGGGGAGUGUCGCAACGUGGAGGUGGUCCACUGGAGACGGGCACGGCGGCAUGGCCGGUCAAGAAGCGGAGAUGCAGUAACAACGAGCGACGGCUGUGCAGAUGUUGAUUGCGCUGCAGAUAUUGAUUUCGACCAGCCAAGUCUGCCUCCCCUGCUACCUCGAUCAGCCGCGCUGCCUUCAUACGUCGCCGCCGCCGCACGUCGUUCCAGGAGAGAGGAUCAAGGAGAGAAAUUAUGCAGGCUUAGAAGAGAGAAGAAACUGGUACCUCGCUUCCACCGUCCGCCGAUGCUCGACACUUGAUUUCUCACGCCGCAACAGAAGAAGAGACGAGAUGGCGGACAGAAUAGGGUUUCUUCGGUGUACUCAUUGUGCCCAUCUGAGCGGUGCUCCUGGAGAUGCUCCGUAUCAUGGCAUCAUCUCCUGCUCUCCCAUCAAAGGAGAAAUUUCCG
rnacentral:lncRNA from 1 species